rnacentral:rRNA from 1 species
CGGGGGGAGCAAGCGUUGUUCGGAUUUACUGGGCGUAAAGGGCGCGUAGGCGGCCUCUGCAAGUCGACUGUGAAAUCUCCGGGCUUAACCCGGAACGGUCAGCCGAUACUGCAGGGCUAGAGUGCAGAAGGGGCAACUGGAAUUCUCGGUGUAGCGGUGAAAUGCGUAGAUAUCGAGAGGAACACCUGCGGCGAAGGCGGGUUGCUGGGCUGACACUGACGCUGAAGCGCGAAAGCUAGGGGGGCGAACGGGAUUAGAUACCCCGGUAGUCCUAGCCUUAAACGAUGAAUGCUUGGUGUCUGGGGUUUUAUAGUCCCCGGGUGCCGUCGCUAACGCUUUAAGCAUUCCGCCUGGGGAGUACGGUCGCAAGACUG